rnacentral:rRNA from 1 species
AGGGUGUAAACGCUGCAGACUUGGUGUUGGGAACCCUUCGGGGGUGCUCAGUGCCGGAGAGAAGUUGUUAAGUCUGCUACUUGGGGAGUACGUCCGCAAGGAUGAAACUUAAAGGAAUUGGCGGGGGAGCACCGCAACGGGAGGAGCGUGCGGUUUAAUUGGAUUCAACGCCGAAAAACUCACCAGCAGCGACUGUUACAUGAAAGUCAGGUUGAUGACCUUACUAGAUUUUCAGAGAGGUGGUGCAUGGCGUAGUUCGUGU